UAGGGAAUCUUCGGCAAUGGACGGAAGUCUGACCGAGCAACGCCGCGUGAGUGAAGAAGGUUUUCGGAUCGUAAAGCUCUGUUGUAAGAGAAGAACGAGUGUGAGAGUGGAAAGUUCACACUGUGACGGUAUCUUACCAGAAAGGGACGGCUAACUACGUGCCAGCAGCCGCGGUAAUACGUAGGUCCCGAGCGUUGUCCGGAUUUAUUGGGCGUAAAGCGAGCGCAGGCGGUUAGAUAAGUCUGAAGUUAAAGGCUGUGGCUUAACCAUAGUAGGCUUUGGAAACUGUUUAACUUGAGUGCAAGAGGGGAGAGUGGAAUUCCAUGUGUAGCGGUGAAAUGCGUAGAUAUAUGGAGGAACACCGGUGGCGAAAGCGGCUCUCUGGCUUGUAACUGACGCUGAGGCUCGAAAGCGUGGGGAGCAAACAGGAUUAGAUACCCUGGUAGUCCACGCUGUAAACGAUGAGUGCUAGGUGNNNNNCCUUUCCGGGGUUUAGUGCCGUAGCUAACGCAUUAAGCACUUCGCCUGGGGAGUACGACCGCAAGGUUG
rnacentral:rRNA from 1 species